UACGUAGGGGGCCGAGCGUUGUCCGGAGUUACUGGGCGUAAAGCGCGCGCAGGCGGCUCGUCAAGCCUGACGUGAAAGCCCCCGGCUCAACCGGGGAGGGUCGUCGGGGACUGGCGGGCUUGAGGUCGGCAGGGGUUGGUGGAAUUCCCGGUGUAGCGGUGAAAUGCGCAGAUAUCGGGAGGAACACCAGUAGCGAAGGCGGCUCGCUGGGCCACACCUGACGCUGAGACGCGAAAGCUAAGGGAGCGAACAGG
rnacentral:rRNA from 1 species